rnacentral:rRNA from 1 species
GAUGAACGCUGACAGAAUGCUUAACACAUGCAAGUCGAUGGGGAAGUGGUGCUUGCACCAUGGUAACCAUGGCGGACGGGUGAGUAACGCGUAAGGAACUUGCCUGCGGGACUGGGAUAACAGCAGGAAACUGCUGAUAAUACCGGAUAAGGUCAUUAAGCUGCAUAGCUUAGUGAUGAAAGGAGACGCCUGCGGAGAGCCUUGCGUCCUAUUAGCUAGUUGGAGGGGUAACGGCCCACCAAGGCGAAGAUAGGUAGCCGGCCUGAGAGGGUGGACGGCCACAAGGGGACUGAGAUACGGCCCUUACUCCUACGGGAGGCAGCAGUGGGGAAUAUUGGACAAUGGGGGCAACCCUGAUCCAGCAAUUCUGUGUGCACGAAGAAGGUUUUCGGAUUGUAAAGUGCUUUCAGCAGGGAAGAAGGAAGUGACGGUACCUGCAGAAGAAGCGACGGCUAAAUACGUG